UACGGAGGGUGCGAGCGUUGUCCGGAAUCACUGGGCGUAAAGGGCGCGUAGGCGGCGCGGGAAGUCCGUGGUGAAAGCCCGAGGCUCAACUUCGGGUCGGCCAUGGAUACUCCUGGGCUUGAGCACUGUAGAGGCAGGUGGAAUUCCGGGUGUAGCGGUGGAAUGCGUAGAGAUCCGGAAGAACACCGGUGGCGAAGGCGGCCUGCUGGGCAGUAG
rnacentral:rRNA from 1 species